GACAGAGGGUGCAAACGUUGUUCGGAAUUACUGGGCGUAAAGCGCGUGUAGGCGGCUUGGCAAGUCGGGUGUGGAAGCCCUGGGCUCAACCUAGGAAGUGCACUCGAAACUGCUUCGCUUGAGUGUCGGAGAGGAAAGCGGAAUUCUCGGUGUAGAGGUGAAAUUCGUAGAUAUCGAGAGGAACACCGGUGGCGAAGGCGGCUUUCUGGACGAUAACUGACGCUGAGACGCGAAAGCGUGGGGAGCAAACAGG
rnacentral:rRNA from 1 species